rnacentral:ncRNA from 1 species
AAGGUACGCAUAACAGCGUUUAAAAGGGAAUGUGAGUGAGAAUCUCCUACUGUCCCGCAGCUGUGAGUUCCCUUAGCACAUUCCAAGCAAAACAAUCCACUGCCCUUUAUGGCGGGAAGGAGUUUGGAGUGGGAACAAAGUCAGAAGACCUGCCUCGAUGUU